rnacentral:rRNA from 1 species
AACGAACGCUGGCGGCAUGCCUAACACAUGCAAGUCGAACGAGACCUUCGGGUCUAGUGGCGCACGGGUGCGUAACGCGUGGGAACCUGCCCUUAGGUUCGGAAUAACUCCCCGAAAGGGGUGCUAAUACCGGAUAAUGUCUUCGGACCAAAGAUUUAUCGCCUUUGGAUGGGCCCGCGUUGGAUUAGCUAGUUGGUAGGGUAAAAGCCUACCAAGGCGACGAUCCAUAGCUGGUCUGAGAGGAUGAUCAGCCGCACUGGGACUGAGACACGGCCCAGACUCCUACGGGAGGCAGCAGUGGGGAAUAUUGGACAAUGGGCGAAAGCCUGAUCCAGCAAUGCCGCGUGAGUGAUGAAGGCCUUAGGGUUGUAAAGCUCUUUUACCCGGGAUGAUAAUGACAGUACCGGGAGAAUAAGCGCCGGCCAACUCCGUG